GACGAACCGUGCGAACGUUGUUCGGAAUCACUGGGCUUAAAGGGCGCGUAGGCGGGCCGAAAAGUCAGGGGUGAAAUCCUCCAGCUUAACUGGAGAACUGCCUUUGAUACUGGCGGUCUGGAGUAAGGUAGGGGCAUGCGGAACUGAUGGUGGAGCGGUGAAAUGUGUUGAUAUCAUCAGGAACGCCGGUGGCGAAAGCGGCGUGCUGGACCUUUACUGACGCUGAGGCGCGAAAGCCAGGGGAGCAAACGGG
rnacentral:rRNA from 1 species